rnacentral:rRNA from 1 species
AUUGAACGCUGGCGGCAGGCCUAACACAUGCAAGUCGAGCGGAUGAAGGGAGCUUGCUCCUGGAUUCAGCGGCGGACGGGUGAGUAAUGCCUAGGAAUCUGCCUGGUAGUGGGGGAUAACGUCCGGAAACGGGCGCUAAUACCGCAUACGUCCUGAGGGAGAAAGUGGGGGAUCUUCGGACCUCACGCUAUCAGAUGAGCCUAGGUCGGAUUAGCUAGUUGGUGGGGUAAAGGCCUACCAAGGCGACGAUCCGUAACUGGUCUGAGAGGAUGAUCAGUCACACUGGAACUGAGACACGGUCCAGACCCCUACGGGAGGCAGCAGUGGGGAAUAUUGGAAAAUGGGCGAAAGCCUGAUCCAGCCAGGCCGGGUGGGUGAAGAAGGUCUUCGGAUUGUAAAGCACUUUAAGUUGGGAGGAAGGGCAGUAAGUUAAUACCUUGCUUUUUUGACGUUACCAACAAAAAAAGCACCGGCUAACUUCGU